rnacentral:rRNA from 1 species
UACGUAGGGGGGCAAGCGUUGUCCGGAUUUAUUGGGCGUAAAGAGCGUGUAGGCGGCUUUACAGGUCCGUUGUGAAAACUCGAGGCUCAACCUCGAGACGCCGGUGGAAACCGUAAGGCUAGAGUCCGGAAGAGGAGAGUGGAAUUCCUGGUGUAGCGGUGAAAUGCGCAGAUAUCAGGAGGAACACCCGUGGCGAAAGCGGCUCUCUGGGACGGUACUGACGCUGGGACGCGAAAGCGUGGGGAGCAAACAGG